AGACAUUCUGACAAUUCAUUCAUCUCCCUACAAUUAAGACAUCUUCCUACAACCCAUUCUCAAUUCUUCAUUCUUCUACUCUUAAAUUCCACAACAAGAGAAUCGUUACUUGCUACGGAAUCACUAAAACCACACGCCAAACACCUACUAUUCACGCCAUCCACCAUGCAAAACGUGAUAUCCUUCGCAUUCAUGGGUAACUAAAUCUCUUAGUUGGGGUUAUGGAAGCCGAAUGAGUUACUAUCUAUAGCUAUGAGUUUGUGAGUUCAAGACAAGUAUAUUGCUUAUAUCAUUAUUCUCUUCAUCUUAAAUCUACAUUCUUUGCGGUUCAAACACAAGAACACGCCAUUCUAACAUCUAACCUGUUCGAGAGAAAGGUUAUUUGUCUAGAAAAGAAGACGC
rnacentral:lncRNA from 1 species